UAAAAAGUAAGCUAAUUUAAGCUUUUGGGUUCAUACCUCAACCAUAGAAUCAUUCUCUUUUUAA
rnacentral:tRNA from 1 species